rnacentral:rRNA from 1 species
UACACUCCUGCGGGAGGCAGCAGUGGGGAAUUUUGGACAAUGGGCGAAAGCCUGAUCCAGCAAUGCCGCGUGUGUGAAGAAGGCCUUCGGGUUGUAAAGCACUUUUGUCCGGAAAGAAAUCCUUGGCUCUAAUACAGUCGGGGGAUGACGGUACCGGAAGAAUAAGCACCGGCUAACUACGUGCCAGCAGCCGCGGUAAUACGUAGGGUGCGAGCGUUAAUCGGAAUUACUGGGCGUAAAGCGUGCGCAGGCGGUUUGCUAAGACCGAUGUGAAAUCCCCGGGCUCAACCUGGGAACUGCAUUGGUGACUGGCAGGCUAGAGUAUGGCAGAGGGGGGUAGAAUUCCACGUGUAGCAGUGAAAUGCGUAGAGAUGUGGAGGAAUACCGAUGGCGAAGGCAGCCCCCUGGGCCAAUACUGACGCUCAUGCACGAAAGCGUGGGGAGCAAACAGGAUUAGAAACCCGAGUAGUCCAUGAU